GCUGUACUUUGUUCUGAGCUUCAGAGCAUACGUAUGUGUGCUCCAACUCUGAGCAGACCAAGCUCAGAGACCCUGCCAGAUGCAGAAAGCUUCCUUCAUGGCAGCACAAAUAGUUUCCAUUUCCCAGUCAAGAGCCAGCAUCCAAGACGAGCUUCUGAUUUGACACUGAAUGAAACAAAAGAUGGCCCAGAACUCAAUGGAAGCCAGGAAAUGGAGGCGCAAUUGCCAGAAAAUCUCUGCAACAUCCCAGAAAUCCCCAUGGGCAGAGAAGGUACACUGGCUACUCUGUGCAAGCAAGCACGCUUGCAG
rnacentral:lncRNA from 1 species